UACGUAGGUGACCAGCGUUAUCCGGAUUUACUGGGCGUAAAGCGCGUGUAGGCGGUUCGGUAAGUUGGAUGUGAAAUCUCCUGGCUCAACUAGGAGAGGUCGUUCAAUACUGCCAGACUAGAGGACGGUAGAGGAAGGUAGAAUUCCCGGUGUAGUGGUGAAAUGCGUAGAUAUCGGGAGGAAUACCAGUGGCGAAGGCGGCCUUCUGGGCCGUUCCUGACGCUCAGACGCGAAAGCGUGGGUAGCGAACGGG
rnacentral:rRNA from 1 species